rnacentral:rRNA from 1 species
AGCUCUGUUGUUAGGGAAGAACAAGUGCCGUUCAAAUAGGGCGGCACUUGACGGUACCUAACCAGAAAGCCACGGCUAACUACGUGCCAGCAGCCGCGGUAAUACGUAGGUGGCAAGCGUUGUCCGGGAAUUAUUGGGCGUAAAGGGCUCGCAGGCGGUUUCUUAAGUCUGAUGUGAAAGCCCCCGGCUCAACCGGGGAGGGUCAUUGGAAACUGGGGAACUUGAGUGCAGAAGAGGAGAGUGGAAUUCCACGUGUAGCGGUGAAAUGCGUAGAGAUGUGGAGGAACACCAGUGGCGAAGGCGACUCUCUGGUCUGUAACUGACGCUGAGGAGCGAAAGCGUGGGGAGCGAACAGGAUUAGAUACCCUGGUAGUCCACGCCGUAAACGAUGAGUGCUAAGUGUUAGGGGGUUUCCGCCCCUUAGUGCUGCAGCUAACGCAUUAAGCACUCCGCCUGGGGAGUACGGUCGCAAGACUGAAACUCAAAGGAAUUGACGGGGGCCCGCACAAGCGGUGGAGCAUGUGGUUUAAUUCGAAGCAACGCGAAGAACCUUACCAGGUCUUGACAUCCUCUGACAAUCCUAGAGAUAGGACGUCCCCUUCGGGGGCAGAGUGACAGGUGGUGCAUGGUUGUCGUCAGCUCGUGUCGUGAGAUGUUGGGUUAAGUCCCGCAACGAGCGCAACCCUUGAUCUUAGUUGCCAGCAUUCAGUUGGGCACUCUAAGGUGACUGCCGGUGACAAACCGGAGGAAGGUGGGGAUGACGUCAAAUCAUCAUGCCCCUUAUGACCUGGGCUACACACGUGCUACAAUGGACAGAACAAAGGGCAGCGAAACCGCGAGGUUAAGCCAAUCCCACAAAUCUGUUCUCAGUUCGGAUCGCAGUCUGCAACUCGACUGCGUGAAGCUGGAAUCGCUAGUAAUCGCGGAUCAGCAUGCCGCGGUGAAUACGUUCCCGGGCCUUGUACACACCGCCCGUCACACCACGAGAGUUUGUAACACCCGAAGUCGGUGAGGUAACCUUUUAGGAGCCAGCCGCCGAAGGUGGGACAGAUGAUUGGGGUGAAGUCGUAACAAGGAGCAUAAAGG